UCGCCUCGGCUGUUCCGGGCGGUCUGGAGCCUUGCGCUGUCUUUCGAAAUAUCCCCCGCCCCGCGGGUCGCCUUACCAGCCUCCCCAGGGUGUGCAUGAACGCUGGUGCUUUCCUUUCAGUACUUAGGGGAACUCCAGCGGUAAUAACCACACAUACUUCCUCUUAAUCAGUGGCCUGGCAAACCCGCUUGGGGAUUUCCAUGACCCUAAAAGAGUGACUAUUUCUUAACUGUGCCAUAACCGCGUGGCAUUUACUGAAAGACCUUUGCUUCAGUGUUCACGUGUCAGAGGAAAUCCUGAUAACAGGUGUUAGGGAAGAUGAUCAUUGGUCAACCUGACUGGAAAAGAGAAAAUGAUAAGACAUGACCCUCAUUAUAAGCAACGUGGAAAUAACAGAAACCUUGAGAGAAAAGAGCAACAUUGUCUUCAACUUUUUUUCAAUGAAACUUUUUUUUUCUCUGAGAAACAGAACCUGAGAUGGAGAUCACGUGCAGCUAAUUCCUUUGUAUAUAGCCUCCAGCUCAACAUUACUCCAACAACAUUUGGACAGAAAUGCUGAUGGGAGACUCCUGUGCUAAAUCAUAUCUGUCUGACAAGAAGAAUAGAAGAUGUGACAUUGUACAAUUGGUAACAAAAAAAAGAAAACAUGGUCCUAGUUAAGACUGGGAAAUACUGAGAAGAAUUCUGUUUCUUCCAAUAGAAUUUCCUGUAUUCUGUUUUUCCUCAGGUCUCUGUCCUUGUGUUAUGGUGAGAAAGUUUAGAACACCGUUAUGAAGAUUUUCUGUUUAAAUGGUUCCGAAUUGUGGGCAUAUUUAAUUUGGUGUUUCCCUUGUCCUAAGGAGUAAUGAAAAUGUUCUUAAAUUGAUUAUGGGGAUGUAUGCACAACUAUGUGAUGAUACUGUGAGGCAGUGAUUGUAUACUUUGGAUGGUUUGUGAGGUGUGUGAAUAUAUCUCAAUAAAAUUGAUUUUUAAAAAGCCCUCAGAAUUUUUUAUUGUGCUGAGAACUGGCUCCCAGACUAUGGUAGUGCCAUGAGCAUGAGUGGAUUUGAGUAUGAGAUCAAUUUUGACUGCCUCUAGCU